UACGUAGGGUGCAAGCGUUAAUCGGAAUUACUGGGCGUAAAGCGUGCGCAGGCGGUUUUGUAAGCCAGAUGUGAAAUCCCCAGGCUUAACCUGGGAACUGCAUCCGAUACUGGAUGGCUUGAAUCCGGGAGAGGGAUGCAGAAUUCCAGGUGUAGCGGUGAAAUGCGUAGAUAUCUGGAGGAAUACCGAUGGCGAAGGCAGGUCUCUGGGCUGACACUGACGCUCAUGCACGAAAGCGUGGGGAGCAAACAGG
rnacentral:rRNA from 1 species